rnacentral:rRNA from 1 species
AGUCGAGCGGUAGAGAGAAGCUUGCUUCUCUUGAGAGCGGCGGACGGGUGAGUAAUGCCUAGGAAUCUGCCUGGUAGUGGGGGAUAACGUUCGGAAACGGACGCUAAUACCGCAUACGUCCUACGGGAGAAAGCAGGGGACCUUCGGGCCUUGCGCUAUCAGAUGAGCCUAGGUCGGAUUAGCUAGUUGGUGGGGUAAUGGCUCACCAAGGCGACGAUCCGUAACUGGUCUGAGAGGAUGAUCAGUCACACUGGAACUGAGACACGGUCCAGACUCCUACGGGAGGCAGCAGUGGGGAAUAUUGGACAAUGGGCGAAAGCCUGAUCCAGCCAUGCCGCGUGUGUGAAGAAGGUCUUCGGAUUGUAAAGCACUUUAAGUUGGGAGGAAGGGUUGUAGAUUAAUACUCUGCAAUUUUGACGUUACCGACAGAAUAAGCACCGGCUAACUCUGUGCCAGCAGCCGCGGUAAUACAGAGGGUGCAAGCGUUAAUCGGAAUUACUGGGCGUAAAGCGCGCGUAGGUGGUUAGUUAAGUUGGAUGUGAAAUCCCCGGGCUCAACCUGGGAACUGCAUUCAAAACUGACUGACUAGAGUAUGGUAGAGGG